GACAAGAAGACCCUAAGAAUUUUAAAAACUGUAAUUGUAAAACUAUUAAUUAUAGUUUUUUGAUUGGGGCGAUUGAUAAAUAUAGAAAACUUUAUUAUAAAAAAAAAUGAACCAGUAUUACUGGUUUAAUGAAUAAAAAUACUCUAGGGAUAACAGCGUAAUAAUUUUUAAUAGCUCUUAUUGACAAAAUAGUUUGCGACC
rnacentral:rRNA from 1 species